rnacentral:rRNA from 1 species
AUUGGCGUACGGGUGAGUACACGUGGAUGAUCUGCCUGGAGUGGGGAAUAACGCUGGGAAACCGGCGCUAAUACCGCAUAUACGAGAGGAAAGCAGCGCUCGAGGAGGAGUCCGCGGCCGAUUAGCUAGUUGGCAGGGUAAAAGCCUACCAAGGCUGUGAUCGGUAGCCGGCCUGAGAGGGCACACGGCCACACUGGCACUGAAACACGGGCCAGACUCCUACGGGAGGCAGCAGUGGGGAAUCUUGCACAAUGGGGGAAACCCUGAUGCAGCGACGCCGCGUGAGCGAUGAAGCCCUUCGGGGUGUAAAGCUCUUUCGGCAGGGAAGAUUGACGGUACCUGCAGAAGCAGCUGCGGCUAACUACGUGCCAGCAGCCGCGGUAAUACGUAGGCAGCAAGCGUUGUUCGGAGUUACUGGGCGUAAAGGGUGUGUAGGCGGCUCUCUAAGUUUGGUGUGAAAUCUCCCGGCUCAACCGGGAGGGUGCGCCGAAGAC